rnacentral:rRNA from 1 species
GAUGAACGCUGGCGGCGUGCCUAAUACAUGCAAGUCGAGCGAAUGGAUUAAGAGCUUGCUCUUAUGAAGUUAGCGGCGGACGGGUGAGUAACACGUGGGUAACCUGCCCAUAAGACUGGGAUAACUCCGGGAAACCGGGGCUAAUACCGGAUAACAUUUUGAACCGCAUGGUUCGAACUUGAAAGGCGGCUUCGGCUGUCACUUACGGAUGGACCCGUGUCGCAUUAGCUAGUUGGUGAGGUAACGGCUCACCAAGGCAACGAUGCGUAGCCGACGUGAGAGGGUGAUCGGCCACACUGGGACUGAGACACGGCCCAGACUCCUACGGGAGGCAGCAGUAGGGAAUCUUCCGCAAUGGACGAAAGUCUGACGGAGCAACGCCGCGUGAGUGAUGAAGGCUUUCGGGCCGUAAAACUCUGUUGUUAGGGAAGAACAAGUGCUAGUUGAAUAAGCUGGCACCUUGACGGUACCUAACCAGAAAGCCACGGCUAACUACGUGCCAGCAGCCGCGGUAA